UGCCUAUGAUGAUAAUAUUUGAUAAUGAUUUUAAAUGAUUCUUCUUACCACCAAGAUCUCUGAGGUG